rnacentral:rRNA from 1 species
UACAGAGGGGGCAAGCGUUAUUCGGAAUCAUUGGGCGUAAAGCGCGUGUAGGCGGCUCGUUAAGUCCGGUGUGAAACCUUGGGGCUCAACCCCAAGCCUGCACUGGAUACUGACGAGCUCGAGUCCGGGAGGGGAGAGCGGAAUUCCUAGUGUAGCGGUGAAAUGCGCAGAUAUUAGGAAGAACACCGGUGGCGAAGGCGGCUCUCUGGAACGGUACUGACGCUGAGACGCGAAAGCGUGGGGAGCGAACAGG